rnacentral:lncRNA from 1 species
CAAAGACGAGUCUUUCAAGUCUGAACCAUAUCAAUCACCUCACCCAACAUAAUGGCACACUUAAUAAAAACUUCAGUUUAAACAUACAUAACAAACUUACUACCCAAUAACAAUGCUUGCAGAGCUUCCAAUAAGAUGUCAACUCAGGUAUGGACAAUGGUCGGCUUGUAGUCGAUCACUACUACUUUCUCCAGUGUGGGAAGGAACUGGUUCGCAAAUUCGACGUGAACAGGAUGACCAAUGUACUCUGCUAUUCCCUCGGUGCUCUCAAACGUUGACUCGAAGACGUGCGUGAAGCCUUGGUGCAAGUUCUCGACACUCACAUCCUUUCCCCUAAUUUCAAAUGAGAAAUGAUUAACCAAGAUCAGGCAUCUGAACAAGCUCUUAAAAAACAUUACAUGACAUAUCACCGGGGCAUUAAUAUGAGAACUCUAGCGCACCCAACUUCUAUUGAUCGAAAAUCUGGUUGACAAAAUAGUGAACACUACGGCAUAAAGAGAAUAGCCAAUGUCCUUUUGCUUCUAGUUGAAUGUUGUGAUUCUAGCCCGACGGAAAGUCUCUUUGAUUGAAGGUGUUUCUUCAGCAUUCUAAUUUGAUUGCAAGAAUCAAAUGUAAGCUCAGAACAAUCUCUGAUCUAGAUAGACAAUGAAUACUCCAAAAUGAUAUGGAUCCUCGCUAGCGAAGGAUAGAUCUAUUGAGAUCACGACACAUCAAGUAAAACAAAUGGUGCGUAAUGUAUCCUGACCUCUGAGGGCAAACUUAGCGAACCACUAAACUCUUGAGUCAUAGAGCUUAAUAACUCGUAUUCUCUAACUACCGGUCAAUCUUUGCUAAUCUAUUUCUCCAAAGAACAUCUGAUUCAAAGAGUUCUUUUCAGGAUCCUAUUGCAGUGGCAAGAUCGAAUCAGACGCUUAGAACAACUCCAAUCCAAAAGACAAUGAACACUCCGAUAUGACUCAGCAAAACAAUUAACCACAAAUCAGGCAGACAAAGCCAACCACAACCCACUUGCCCUCCUCGACUUGAUGUCAACAGCAACAGAAACAGCAGCAAAAACAACAAAAUCUCGACCCCACGAUGAGGUUUCGGAUAUCUAUAAUGUGCACUCAAAGAAAAUGUCUAAGAUCACGGAGAAGCCAAUUACAUAAACUGGGUUCAAAAAAUGCACCAAGAACGAGGGGGAAAUUAAGGGAAAAAGCCCAAAAAAAGGAGAAACACAAUGCACAGAGAUCAGAGAGAGAGAGAGAGAGAGAGAGAGAAGAAUACCAGUGGAAUGAUUUCAUGGGUUCGAUGAGGUUGACGAGAUUGGCGUAACCCUUGAUGAGUUGCUCGAUCUGGUCAGGUGGAAUUUCGUCCUUGAACUUGGCGAGCAGCACAUGCUUCACCAAUCCCUUCGCUUCCUCCAUCGUCAGCUUUCUACUCCCGAGUUCAGAAGUCCCUGUCCGCGACGCACCAUCCCCUUAAUUUAUAGUCCUUCGGAGAGAGUACCCAAACUCCACCCAAGUUUUGGGUAUUACUCGAUUACCCUGCAUAUUUCAAUUUAUUAUAUAUUGCUCCCUGAAUUUGUCACGGUCGUUUACCCUCAUGAUAUUUUUCUGUUGGAGGUCUCUCUUUUACUCUUGCUUUUUAUAAAGAAAUGAAAAGAUAAGGAGAAUGGACGGAAAUAAACCGACGGAUACAUCGACAAAAAUAGAUAACAAUAAUGAUAAUCUGAUGAAUAUAUUAGGUAAAACUGAUAAAAUAUUCUAAGAAAAAGAAAUACAACCAAGUAAAAUGGAAGAAAAGGCCUUAAGAAUAUCACACUAAGUCACUGAUUAUCAUUUCCUUUUUCUUUUCUUUUUUUGUAAAAGGUAAGAACAUAAUGAGUUUUGAACCAAAUUUACAAAAGUUCAGCGCUAAAAACUUACACUCAAAGAGACAACACGUCAUAAUGAGUGGAAGGGAGCUGAAGUAAGAUAGAAAACUACAAAUAAAGCGGACCAAAACAAGCAUAGAACAACCUAAACAACUGACAAAAAGAAACUAGCAAGAAACAACACUAGGCAUCAUAAGGCCGAAUGGACCCCACAACUCAGGUCGCAUUUGCCAACGACAAAAGUGAAGAGCCAUCAAGGAGAUAGCCGCACGCAGGAAGAGCAGCCAUUUGGCAAUCAAAGACAAGCUAGGGCCUUACGGGAGUAGGAGAGUCCCUAGCAGAGAAGAUAAUCGGAUCGAUACCCCAGCUACGCUGCAGCCUCCUAUUUUUAAAAGUAUCGUCCACGUUCCUAAAAGUGAUGACUUUGUCUCUGACGACUUUUAAGAGAUGAUUCUUCACCAUUGGAAUGGCUAAGUUCUGCUCCCUAAAAGUGAUGGCCUUGUCUCCUCCUAUUUCUAAAAGUAUUGUCCUCAUUUCCUUUGAUGAGCUGAGAACAUCAUUUUCUUCUUUUUGUAAUUUUUUGAGUAUUUUAUUGAUCAAUCAUUUUGUACAAUAAUUAACCAUUUAAUUAUACUCAUGUAUAGCUCUGAUGCUCUUGAUGUAAUUUCCCCGUACUCUGUUAACGAAUGAAUAUCAUGCGUAGUUUCGACCAAAAAAAAAAAAUUAUACUCAUGUAUAGCUAAUUUUUCUAAUUGGACCUUUUGUCAUUGAGCCAUCUUCCCUUUCCAUUUAAUUUGUGUUUAUUCUUUUUUCUUAAAUCAUAUUUGUUUAGUUCUAUUAAAGUGGCUAUGUAAUCAUAUUUUGACAGAUUGUUUAAUGUUUUAGCUUAUUUCGUUUUUCAUGUUUUACCACAAUGAAGGGUAAAAGAGAUAAUUCCUCUAAAAAAAAGAGAUGAAAGUAUACAUUUACCCUUCAUAGUUGUAUGCAUUCUACAUGCUAAUGCAAAAAACAUAAAGAGUUAGCGUCUGUAAUAGAACAAAAAUUGAGGGAUUGUAUAACAGUUGAAAGUUCGGGGGCAUAUAUGAAGCCCCAAAGUUUAAAGGACUUUUGUGUGAUUUACUCUAGUUCUUUUUAAUUCUGGGUAGAUGACAACAUUUUGGCAAUGCGAUUAGUGUUUAUAAUAAAUUUUUUUAAACUACAUAUAUUUGAUAUUAGAAACGUGGGUCCUUCUAUUAUGAGGUCCAUUAGUUACCUACUCUAAUGAGUUUUAAAGUAUAAAAUAUGACUUAAAAGUUUAUGAAAUGGCUAGUAUUUCCGGAUAGGGCAUGGAGUAAUAUGAGUGCGUAAAAUGAGUGUAGUAUUGGCACUAGGGAUGAUCAAGUCCAGGGUGGGUAGGGUCUAGACCUAGACCCCGUACCCGACAUUGUUAUAACCGGUUUCUCUUUUCUGGAUCAUAUACCCAACCCUAUUUGUAUUAAACCUUGUACCCAACCUACCCUGUUUUUCCGAUCCGGUUCCAAGGUCAACUCUAUUUCCAUUGGAACUUGUUUUGCAAUCUCCCGAUAUCCUAUAUGACUUUGAAUUUUAUAUUGAUACACAAGAAAAUAACGUAAUUCUCAUAAUUUGUAUUGGAACAUUAAGCAUUUGUAAUAAAUAAAUACAUGAACUUUUUGACUAAACGAAAAAUUAAGGAUCCACAAGGCUAAUUAUAAUAAAUAAAAUCAUAAGACAAAGAAUUAACAACAAACAUAGAUCUAAUAUUAGUCUUAUUCCUACAACUACUACAUGAAGCUACUCAUUUAUGCAAGCAUAACUCCUCCUCUAAAAGAUAGAUUAAGCGAAGCCAAUCCAUGUGAUACACAAGAAUUUGGCGGCAACGAACACCGUUUGUCCAUCAGAUGGUGCGAGAGGGAGCCGGUGAGGGAGGGAAGCAAGUGAGGAAGAGGAAUGACAAAGGAGGAGCGCUGUGUGUGUUUGAGAGAGUCAAGAAGAAAAAGAUCAUGUGAUUGCGGAAGUAAGAAUAGAAAUUGGGGGAAAAAAAAGGUUUUGGACCUCUACUUACAAAACCGGUUCGAAAACCGGUCCAAGAAUUGAUUUGUAGGUGGGUAAUCACUCGGAACCUAUUCCCGGACCGAUUUAAACCGAUUCCGAAUUUUGGGAACCAAUUCCCAAACCGGUUUCAACGGGAACCGGUUCCCGACCCUGUUUUCCGUAGGGGUGAUCGGUUCCUGGUUCGGUCCGGUUCGGUCCGGUUCCAAGGUGGAACCGGGAACCGGACCGGGAGAAUCGGUUCCCAAUUUUGGGAACCAUGGACUGGACCGUUGGUCUUAGGACCGAGAAUCGGACCGGACCAUCGGUUCAGGUCCAGUCCGGUCCGGUCCAAAAGAAUUGGCACUUUAUUUUUUCACUAAAGAAUGACCAUUCACUAAAGAAUAAUCAUGCUCCGGACCGAUCAAUUAAAUUCGGUUUCCGAGCAAUCUAAUAAAACUACUCACAUAUGGUUCCACGUGCAAAAUAUUCAAACUUCACUUGUGUGAAUAUCAAUCAUAGUUUAUGUGUUUCAUGCUUAAUUUUAAGCAUAAAACCCAUGAAUAACGUGAUUAAAGGUUGUGCUUGGCUUAGGUUUUAUAGACAAUCUCUCUUCUAUACUUUGAAUGUUUAGUCGAUAUGAGACUUUUUAAGGCUUGAAGUGCCUUGUCGUUUGCAAGUGAGGGGAGCAAGAGAGAGAGUGUGAGCAUGAGGAGAAUUUUUUUAUAUAAAUAAAGAGUAACAACAAGAGUUUUGGUGGUUUCUUGGCCACAUAAGAGGUUGUUACCUAAAUUGCAAUUCCGAUUGCAAUAAGUUUCAUAUAUAAUAUUAAUAUAUUAUACGUGUUUAUAUAUUAUAUGAAUAUAAAUUAUAUAUAAAAAAAUUUGGUCUGGUUCGGUUGGUUCGGUUCCCACCUUGGAACUGGGAACCGGACCAUCAACCAUGGGAACUGCCCAAAACCGGCCGGUCCGGUCCGGUUCGGUCCGGUUCCGGUUCGGGCGGUUUCCGUUGCACACCCCUAGUUUUCCGAGUGGCUAGUCUGAGAACCGGUAUACCCGGUCCGGUUGCACACCUCUAAUCGGCACAAUUAACUCCAAAUGCUAGAGGACUUAUGGGCCAAAAGUUAAGCCUAGCCUAAUAGAAGACCUUGUAUUCGUCCGGGUGGUCCUAACUAAUCUUUAGAAUAAUACGGUAAAAGAGACAAACGAAAGCUAGUAGAAAAGAUAAGAAAAGUCGAUAAUUUGCAAAGUAUUAUAUUUUUUAACCCACGGGUUUUUAACAUUUAUCAACUCUUUAGUAAUUAAACAAGAAGGAAAAAAAUUAGUUCUUUUUUCGCAAACGAAAUAGUAGAAUUGCCAGCUUGAAUUAGUCCUCAACUAGACUUGUAUCAGUGGUUAUUAUAACUUAAAUGAAAGUUGGUAAUCCAAAAUUAGUUGAUAACUCAAUUGACGAAAAUUUCAUAAUUUACUCGUAUUUUUGUUGUAAUUUUAUAUAAGAGUUGAUAAACUUAGAGGUUAGUAAGGAAGACAAAAAGUUGAUAAAUUAAAAAGAAAAAGAAAAUUACCUGUAGUUUGUACUCAACACUAGUUGGUUACAUUAUAGAAGAGAAGUUGGUUUGUCACACCAAUACAUAUUGGAAAAUUCACAUAAAAUUUGGUAAAUUUAAGCCGUUAGCAAGAUAAAAAGAGAAAAAUUGAUAAGUCAUUACAAAAGUUAAUGAAUUCGAAUAAAAACAUACAAAAGAGAACUCAGGUAAAUUAACUAAUCCAAAUGAGAGUUGAUAACUUAAUUAGAAAUGAGAAGACGAUUCACCUUAAUUUAGACUGAUAAUUUUUGAAGAGGAUUGGUAAAUGUUGGGAGCUGGUAGAGGUAAAUAAAAGUUAGUAAAUAAAAUUUUGGUAAACUAAAAAUUAGUAUCUUAAGAGAAACAAAUGGUAAAUUAAAAGUAAGCAAAUAAAUAUGAGUGAGUAACUCAAAUAAGAGGAGGUUAACCAAAACUAGCUGGCUACCUAAUAGAAAAAGAUUGGUAAAGACAUUUGUCAAGAUAGACAAAUAAAAGCUAGUAAAAGAUAAGAAAAGUCCAUAUUUUGCUAGAAAGCCCGUUUUAUAAAAUCUUCUAGAGAAUUAAAGUCUUAUGUUUUUUAAGGAGAAAAUUGCCCAAGCGAUUUAAAAUUAUUAUACAUAUGUUAAUUUAGUCAUAAAUCUUUUAAUUUAGCAAAUUUAGUCAUCAACCUUUGCACAAAAUUCUAAUAUAAGCCUUAAUAUUAAUUUUCGUUAGAAAUCCCUGACAUAGUAGUCUAGUAUGACAUCAUUGACUCGUAUCGCAGGUCACCCACUCCCACCCGGCUCGAGGAUGGGUCAUAUAAUUUGGGAUCGCACGGGACUUAUCCACCAGUGUAACAUUCCAUACACAGUGGGCGUGAGAUUCAGGACAUAAACAACAAAUGAUCCCUAACGAAAAGGCUUUUCCUAUCAUAGCAAGAGGUUCAAAAAGACGUCCCGUUCUUCUACCAAACAUAUCGUAGCAAGAGGUUCAAAAAGACAUCUCGUUCUUCGACCAAACAUUCUGCAUUUUCCUGCAUGUUAUUGUCUGUUCAUACGAAUUCAGUAAGAUUUUCCAGUAUUUAACCUAAGGCAUAAACUUUACUAAAAGCUCCGUGACAACCUAAAGAAAAAAUGCAAUGAAUGGACAGACCAGGUUUGUCCUCAUAAAUCUGGAUUUAGAUAAAACAUAUUCCCCAUGGUGAUACAGCAUUAUAUUUUGCCUUGUAAUAUGCAAAGACGAGUCUCUCGAGUCUGAACCAUAUCAAUCACCUUACCAAUAUAAUGGCACAGUUAAAAAAAAACUUCGGUUUUGCCAUACAUAACAAACUUAUUAUUCAAUCACAAUGCUUGCAGAGCUUCCAAUGCGAUGCCAACUCAGGUAUGGACAAUGGUCGGCUUGUAGUCGAUCACGACUAGUUUCUCCAGUACAGGAACGAGCUGGUUCGCGAAUUCAACAUGUGCAGGAUGACCAAUGUACUCCGCCAUUCCCUCGGUGCUCUCAAAUGUUGACUCGAAGACGUGUGUGA